rnacentral:rRNA from 2 species
UGGGGAAUAUUGGACAAUGGGGGGAACCCUGAUCCAGCCAUGCCGCGUGUGUGAAGAAGGCCUUAUGGUUGUAAAGCACUUUAAGCGAGGAGGAGGCUCCUGUAGUUAAUACCUACAGAGAGUGGACGUUACUCGCAGAAUAAGCACCGGCUAACUCUGUGCCAGCAGCCGCGGUAAUACAGAGGGUGCGAGCGUUAAUCGGAUUUACUGGGCGUAAAGCGUGCGUAGGCGGCUUUUUAAGUCGGAUGUGAAAUCCCCGAGCUUAACUUGGGAAUUGCAUUCGAUACUGGGAAGCUAGAGUAUGGGAGAGGAUGGUAGAAUUCCAGGUGUAGCGGUGAAAUGCGUAGAGAUCUGGAGGAAUACCGAUGGCGAAGGCAGCCAUCUGGCCUAAUACUGACGCUGAGGUACGAAAGCAUGGGGAGCAAACAGG